GGUGUGCUGGGAGGUGGAGCAAAUCAACAACAACACUCUGGCAUGCUCUCUCUUUCUCUGUUUUGCAGUACCAUUAGCUAUAUGGCUAGACUAGAGACCGAAUCUCACAGUGAUGCCAGCUCCUGAACAGGUGUGACAAAGUGAAAAUGUAGAUGACAAAGUGAAAAUGUAGAGUUUCCGUCAACCUCGCACGCAAUGUAGAUCUCAAAGAACGCCGCGGUUCGCGGGAGAGUAUUGGGUGAAACCAUUCACACCAGGAAAAGUGAACGUGUGGCUGUGACCGUCCUGUCAAUGCCUGUCAUCACUGUUUGAUAUCUUUUACUGCAGCAGAUAAAAACCGAGUCAACGUGAAGUGUGGGUGUUCGUGUGCCUUUCUUCUGUGGGGCUAUGUGAAGUAGGUUACACAGAUCCAUCAGGGUAGGAAGCGCACCGUGCCCCAACCCCCUCUUCCCCCAGUGUUUUACUGAGCUACGGGACCAAGCGGCAGAGAGGGGACAGAAGAUACAGUCCGGACACUCCCAUCCACUCCCUCCCUGCUGGUGUGACGACAGCCCCGCCCCCCAGUCGCCGUAGCAGCAACAACCUGGCUCCGUCCAAACAGCCCUCUAGGAAAGAGAGGGAAGGAGAGAGUAUGUACCCCACAAGAGGUCUGGAGGAUAUGCUGUCCUACUAACACUCUAUAGAAAGGCCCAGGUUGCUGGUGGUAAAGAGCUUUAUGUUUAGACUGGAGCAACAGGCUAAGGCCCAGCAUCUGUGUGACAAGUCCUCAUGACAAUAUUCACAAAAACGUUGCUACAUCCUUUCUACAACUUUACGGUUCAGUGUUUUUAUAACACAUUAUACUGUCUCUCUCUGCGUACAUGCAAGGGCAGAACGACAAGGAGAUAGAUGGAAAGAGAAUUCAAGAAAAGUAGGAUAGGAGAAGGCAAGUGGGCCAUGCGUUGUUGACCUAACAGCUGAUGAAGAGGAGAGAACAGAGUAAAUAAGACACAGAUUUAAUUUGUUAGCAGGUUAUAGUUAACACAACCUGAGACCACCCUGCAGCAGACUGUAGUUAACACAACCUGAGACCCUCCUGCAGCAGGCUAUAGUUAACACAACCUGAGACCCUCCUGCAGCAGGCUAUAGUUAACACAACCUGAGACCCCCCUGCAGCAGACUAUAGUUAACACAACCUGAGACCACCCUGCAGCAGACUGUAGUUAACAUACAGGUACACACAGAACAGAGUUCGAUUCGGUGCAACUCAACUUGUACACAUACAUACACACAGGUAUGACCAGUGGUGACCCGUCAUUGAGCCCCACCUGUUUAGCUAAAAGAAAUAACU